UACGUAGGGUGCAAGCGUUGUCCGGAAUUAUUGGGCGUAAAGAGCUCGUAGGCGGUCUGUCGCGUCGGCUGUGAAAACCCGGAGCUCAACUCCGGGCCUGCAGUCGAUACGGGCAGACUGGAGUUCGGCAGGGGAGACUGGAAUUCCUGGUGUAGCGGUGAAAUGCGCAGAUAUCAGGAGGAACACCGGUGGCGAAGGCGGGGUCUCUGGGCCGAUACUGACGCUGAGGAGCGAAAGCGUGGGGAGCGAACAGGG
rnacentral:rRNA from 1 species